CGUAGGGACCAAGCGUUGUUCGGAUUUACUGGGCGUAAAGGGCGCGUAGGCGGCAUGACAAGUCACUUGUGAAAUCUCCGGGCUUAACUCGGAACGGCCAAGUGAUACUGUCGCGCUAGAGUGCAGAAGGGGCAAUCGGAAUUCUUGGUGUAGCGGUGAAAUGCGUAGAUAUCAAGAGGAACACCUGAGGUGAAGACGGGUUGCUGGGCUGACACUGACGCUGAGGCGCGAAAGCUAGGGUAGCAAACGGGAUU
rnacentral:rRNA from 1 species